rnacentral:rRNA from 1 species
UGCAAGUCGAGCGAACGGACGAGAAGCUUGCUUCUCUGAUGUUAGCGGCGGACGGGUGAGUAACACGUGGAUAACCUACCUAUAAGACUGGGAUAACUUCGGGAAACCGGAGCUAAUACCGGAUAAUAUUUUGAACCGCAUGGUUCAAAAGUGAAAGACGGUCUUGCUGUCACUUAUAGAUGGAUCCGCGCUGCAUUAGCUAGUUGGUAAGGUAACGGCUUACCAAGGCAACGAUGCAUAGCCGACCUGAGAGGGUGAUCGGCCACACUGGAACUGAGACACGGUCCAGACUCCUACGGGAGGCAGCAGUAGGGAAUCUUCCGCAAUGGGCGAAAGCCUGACGGAGCAACGCCGCGUGAGUGAUGAAGGUCUUCGGAUCGUAAAACUCUGUUAUUAGGGAAGAACAUAUGUGUAAGUAACUGUGCACAUCUUGACGGUACCUAAUCAGAAAGCCACGGCUAACUACGUGCCAGCAGCCGCGGUAAUACGUAGGUGGCAAGCGUUAUCCGGAAUUAUUGGGCGUAAAGCGCGCGUAGGCGGUUUUUUAAGUCUGAUGUGAAAGCCCACGGCUCAACCGUGGAGGGUCAUUGGAAACUGGAAAACUUGAGUGCAGAAGAGGAAAGUGGAAUUCCAUGUGUAGCGGUGAAAUGCGCAGAGAUAUGGAGGAACACCAGUGGCGAAGGCGACUUUCUGGUCUGU